CUAGCUUUAUUUAAAGCAAUCUAAUCCCAUGGGCGGAACCAUUUGUCCUCCUUGUAUACCACUCUCAUAUGUUAAAAAAUAUGAAUUUUAUUCUUUGUUUUAUUUUUUAAAAAUCGUAAUUCCCAGCUAAUGUCAUUUUUUCCUUCAAUCCAUUUAACAAUAUUUUUAUAAUUAACUAUUAUUUGCUAUGGCACCAACUUUUUCUAACAAAAAUUGAAUUGCAUCUUCUAAUUUUUGGAGUAUAAUCUCUUCAGUCAUGUUUGCUCUUGUAACAUCAAAAGCUUAGACUGAUUUUGGGGGGUUCACAAAGGAUUGAACUCUUGAACUUUUGAAUUUAGUGCUCUAAUAUCAUGUCAUGAUACCACUCAUCCCAAAAGUUUCAGCUGAUGAGAAAAGGCUGACAUUGGAAUAGGAGAUUGGAGGAGUUUGCUAGAAGAUUCCAGACUCUAUCUCGGAUGAAGAAGACAUACUUACCAGAAAAAACAUUCCUCAUCUAGAAAUACAGAAAGUUCAGUCAUUCAAGAAGUUAAAGAGUUGGUUCCAGCCCUUCCAGAUAGGUAUUUUUUCGUUCCUCGUCUAUGAUGUAUUGAUGGCAUUAUUUUAAGUGUAGUAAACAUACAAUGUGAUUUUAUUAGUAAAUUUUCUGUUUUGGAUGGGCUUGGAAUGCCACUGAGAAGAGAAGUAAUGUGCGAAGUGCGAACACCUUCCCCUUUGAGUAGACUUUAUUUUGUUCAUCCACGGUUUAAUUUAUUUACUGGAUUAAUUUUUUUUUGGUGACUUUACUGGAUUAAU